rnacentral:rRNA from 1 species
GACGCAGGGGGCUAGCGUUGUUCGGAAUUACUGGGCGUAAAGCGCGUGUAGGCGGUUGUUCAAGUCAGGUGUGAAAGCCUUGAGCUCAACUCAAGAAAUGCACUUGAUACUGGAUGACUAGAGGACCGGAGAGGAUAGUGGAAUUCCCAGUGUAGUGGUGAAAUACGUAGAGAUUGGGAAGAACACCAGUGGCGAAGGCGGCUAUCUGGACGGUUUCUGACGCUAAGACGCGAAAGCGUGGGGAGCAAACAGG